UUAAGUUAUUAAGGGCGCACGGUGGAUGCCUUGGCACUAGAAGCCGAUGAAGGACGUUACUAACGACGAUAUGCUUUGGGGAGCUGUAAGUAAGCUUUGAUCCAGAGAUUUCCGAAUGGGGAAACCCAACAUGAGUUAUGUCAUGUUAUCGAUAUGUGAAUACAUAGCAUAUCAGAAGGCACACCCGGAGAACUGAAACAUCUUAGUACCCGGAGGAAGAGAAAGAAWAUUCGAUUCCCUUAGUAGCGGCGAGCGAAACGGGAAGAGCCCAAACCAACAAGCUUGCUUGUUGGGGUUGUAGGACACUCUAUACGGAGUUACAAAGGACGACAUUAGACGAAUCAUCUGGAAAGAUGAAUCAAAGAAGGUAAUAAUCCUGUAGUCGAAAAUGUUGUCUCUCUUGAGUGGAUCCUGAGUACGACGGAGCACGUGAAAUUCCGUCGGAAUCUGGGAGGACCAUCUCCUAAGGCUAAAUACUCUCUAGUGACCGAUAGUGAACCAGUACCGUGAGGGAAAGGUGAAAAGCACCCCGGAAGGGGAGUGAAAUAGAACCUGAAACCGUGURCUUACAAGUAGUCAGAGCCCGUUAAUGGGUGAUGGCGUGCCUUUUGUAGAAUGAACCGGCGAGUUACGAUUUGAUGCAAGGUUAAGCAGUAAAUGUGGAGCCGUAGCGAAAGCGAGUCUGAAUAGGGCGUUUAGUAUUUGGUCGUAGACCCGAAACCAGGUGAUCUACCCUUGGUCAGGUUGAAGUUCAGGUAACACUGAAUGGAGGACCGAACCGACUUACGUUGAAAAGUGAGCGGAUGAACUGAGGGUAGCGGAGAAAUUCCAAUCGAACCUGGAGAUAGCUGGUUCUCUCCGAAAUAGCUUUAGGGCUAGCCUCAAGUGAUGAUUAUUGGAGGUAGAGCACUGUUUGGACGAGGGGCCCCUCUCGGGUUACCGAAUUCAGACAAACUCCGAAUGCCAAUUAAUUUAACUUGGGAGUCAGAACAUGGGUGAUAAGGUCCGUGUUCGAAAGGGAAACAGCCCAGACCACCAGCUAAGGUCCCAAAAUAUAUGUUAAGUGGAAAAGGAUGUGGCGUUGCCCAGACAACUAGGAUGUUGGCUUAGAAGCAGCCAUCAUUUAAAGAGUGCGUAAUAGCUCACUAGUCGAGUGACACUGCGCCGAAAAUGUACCGGGGCUAAACAUAUUACCGAAGCUGUGGAUUGUCCUUUGGACAAUGGUAGGAGAGCGUUCUAAGGGCGUUGAAGCAUGAUCGYAAGGACAUGUGGAGCGCUUAGAAGUGAGAAUGCCGGUGUGAGUAGCGAAAGACGGGUGAGAAUCCCGUCCACCGAUUGACUAAGGUUUCCAGAGGAAGGCUCGUCCGCUCUGGGUUAGUCGGGUCCUAAGCUGAGGCCGACAGGCGUAGGCGAUGGAUAACAGGUUGAUAUUCCUGUACCACCUAUAAUCGUUUUAAUCGAUGGGGGGACGCAGUAGGAUAGGCGAAGCGUGCGAUUGGAUUGCACGUCUAAGCAGUAAGGCUGAGUAUUAGGCAAAUCCGGUACUCAUUAAGGCUGAGCUGUGAUGGGGAGAAGACAUUGUGUCUUCGAGUCGUUGAUUUCACACUGCCGAGAAAAGCCUCUAGAUAGAAAAUAGGUGCCCGUACCGCAAACCGACACAGGUAGUCAAGAUGAGAAUUCUAAGGUGAGCGAGCGAACUCUCGUUAAGGAACUCGGCAAAAUGACCCCGUAACUUCGGGAGAAGGGGUGCUCUUUAGGGUUAACGCCCAGAAGAGCCGCAGUGAAUAGGCCCAAGCGACUGUUUAUCAAAAACACAGGUCUCUGCUAAACCGUAAGGUGAUGUAUAGGGGCUGACGCCUGCCCGGUGCUGGAAGGUUAAGAGGAGUGGUUAGCUUCUGCGAAGCUACGAAUCGAAGCCCCAGUAAACGGCGGCCGUAACUAUAACGGUCCUAAGGUAGCGAAAUUCCUUGUCGGGUAAGUUCCGACCCGCACGAAAGGCGUAACGAUUUGGGCACUGUCUCAACGAGAGACUCGGUGAAAUCAUAGUACCUGUGAAGAUGCAGGUUACCCGCGACAGGACGGAAAGACCCCGUGGAGCUUUACUGUAGCCUGAUAUUGAAAUUCGGCACAGCUUGUACAGGAUAGGUAGGAGCCUUUGAAACGUGAGCGCUAGCUUACGUGGAGGCGCUGGUGGGAUACUACCCUAGCUGUGUUGGCUUUCUAACCCGCACCACUUAUCGUGGUGGGAGACAGUGUCAGGCGGGCAGUUUGACUGGGGCGGUCGCCUCCUAAAAGGUAACGGAGGCGCUCAAAGGUUCCCUCAGAAUGGUUGGAAAUCAUUCAUAGAGUGUAAAGGCAUAAGGGAGCUUGACUGCGAGACCUACAAGUCGAGCAGGGUCGAAAGACGGACUUAGUGAUCCGGUGGUUCCGCAUGGAAGGGCCAUCGCUCAACGGAUAAAAGCUACCCCGGGGAUAACAGGCUUAUCUCCCCCAAGAGUUCACAUCGACGGGGAGGUUUGGCACCUCGAUGUCGGCUCAUCGCAUCCUGGGGCUGUAGUCGGUCCCAAGGGUUGGGCUGUUCGCCCAUUAAAGCGGUACGCGAGCUGGGUUCAGAACGUCGUGAGACAGUUCGGUCCCUAUCCGUCGUGGGCGUAGGAAAUUUGAGAGGAGCUGUCCUUAGUACGAGAGGACCGGGAUGGACAUACCUCUGGUGUACCAGUUGUCGUGCCAACGGCAUAGCUGGGUAGCUAUGUGUGGACGGGAUAAGUGCUGAAAGCAUCUAAGCAUGAAGCCCCCCUCAAGAUGAGAUUUCCCAACUUCGGUUAUAAGAUCCCUCAAAGAUGAUGAGGUUAAUAGGUUCGAGGUGGAAGCAUGGUGACAUGUGGAGCUGACGAAUACUAAUCGAUCGAAGACUUAAUC
rnacentral:rRNA from 1 species